UUUUAUAUACUUAGGCCAGGGGGUCUAGUUAAUGUAAAUGGGGGGAAGGUGGCUACCUUAUCCUAUUUUAUCUUUGACCUUGGGAGCGGGGUUGUUGUCCCCUGUUAUUUUGUAUUACUAUAUUUAAUUGUU